rnacentral:snRNA from 1 species
AUCACUUCUCGGCCUUUUGGCUAAGAUCAAGUGUAAAAUUGCCUAGAUGUAAAUAUGUGUAUAUGUGCAUGUUUGUACCUGUAAAUAUGUGUAUAUGUGCACGUUUGUACCUCUAUGCGCGUGCGCGCAGGCGCGCGCGCGCGCGCACACACA